CUUUAGUGAUUUCUGUAUAAAUUCAUUGUAUUUUUAGUUUAAAAUGGAUAUUAAAGCUCAUAUUAUUAUUAUCUAUCAUAUUUAACUGUUCACAGAAGCUGUGAUUGCCCAAUCCAGCCGAGUCUCGUGAUCAAUGACUAAAUUGCUUUAAUUCUGUAGGUAGAAUUAGAAAUAAUUUCCUUUAAAUGACUUAAGUAAGAGUAAAAAGUACUACUAUUAAAACGUCCUCGAAUAUAAGAAGUAUAUACCAAUUAUUUUUUCAAGAUACUUGAAGUAGAAGUAAAAGUAUAAAGAAGCUAGUAGAAAAUUCAUGUCCGUAAUUCUGGCCAUGCCAUCUAGACUAUCAUUUCAAUUUAUAGAUUAUAGAAACCUUAAGAUUGACGUUCACGCGGGCAAUUUUGCAAGGACCAAAAGUGCCCUUUUUUGUGAUGAAAAUUGCCCUUUUGUACAAGCUAAUGUCUCUGUAAAUACUAAAUUAACAUCAAAGGUGCCCCUUUUGUUUGGAAAUUUUGAUGUUUUAAAAGGAAAUUUGGUUAAAAACGCGCAAUUUCGGUAUGGCAUGACGGGAAACAUUUCCGAGAAAAAUUUUUUAGGUGCCCUUUUCAAUAUCUAAAAGUGCCUCUGGAAGCUGGUGCCCCCCCCCCCGAAAUGCCGAAAUUUGAAAUCUGACAUCUUUAAUACACGCAUUUAUUUGAGUAGAUACGCCAGGAUAAGAAUAGCCUGCGCGCAGACUAUAUAAUGAGAAUCGUAUAUGACUAGUUGUAUCGUGAAGUAAAAGAGGGCUGUUUUCAGCAAACUAGAACUACACGAUCUUUUUGUUAUACUUAGUUUCCUCAGACUUGCAAAAGCCACCUGAAUCAAAUCUCAAAUUCUUUUUACCAAUGUACUACGACUUAAUAUUUACAACUUUCAAACGUCCAAACACCGCGGUCAGUAAUAUUAAACCAAAAAAUUGUACGCCUACGAUCGAAUGGCCCAUGUCCAUAACAGUUUUAUGUCUAUACAAAUUACUGCCAAAUAUUGGGCCUAGAAGACCGGCCAAUCGGUUAAAUGACGUAAGGAUAGCGUGAACGACUCCCUGAUUCUCCGGCCGCGUGUGCUUGGACACUAGUGACCGUCCGACAACAGCUGUUAUUGAUAUGCCUACCCCGUCAAGGAAUAUGGUCACCAAAAAGCUGUAGUAACAAAGUUUACUCUCAGGGGUGGAGUAGGUUAGGACGAUCAGGCUCACUGAUGCGAGGAAACCGCAUAUGACCGCUAACAGUAGGAUAACGCGGUCGGCGAUUUUCGGCGACACCAAGCAAACGACGAUCAGAACGGCAAUAAUCUCUAAUUCCCAAACAGUAUAGACGAUACUGACUUUGGUCUCGUUCCAUUUUAAUAUCCGUUCUGCCACCAAAGGGGUCAUUCCUUGCAAGCAAGUGUGAGUGAUAUACAUAAAGAACAGCAAGUAAAUAAGAACAUUCACUUCGAACUUUGUGAACAUGUCCGUCAACGCUGAGCAAAAUGUUGCGGGCUCAUCAGAUUGUCUCGCAAUUCCAAACUCGGUUGGGCCUGCGGUCUUUUCUUGCAAACUGUUUUUAUCAUUUUCUUCGGUUUCCUGCGCGGCUUCUUCAGUUGCGUCAUUUCCUGUCCCGUCUUUUCGCCCGUAAUCGCUCUUUCCAUUUUCUUGAGGGGUGAUUGAACCCGACAGGAGUGAACCGACACCAUCCUCAAUUUCGUCAGAGUUUUCCCGAAGAAGCAACUUGUACC